GGCGCGGGCCGGUUCCGGCGCUGUAGGAUCUCUCGGCGGCGGCCUCGUGCGCCUGUCCGCGUGAACCCCGGCGACAUGAUUGGAUAUGGAUUAUUUUCGUCGACACUGGUUAGGGGUGAGGACACUAGUAGGUGCGUCCACCACAUCCAGCCUCCUCCAGCACCUCCAACAUGUUUCAGGGCGAGAAGUCCCGUGUCCUCUCAGGACCACGACUGCGUUAUUAAAUGCUGCAAGAAGAGAGUUAUAAUAUGGAGGGCAGAGAAGAGGAUUUGGAGCCCAAAGACCAGUGUUCAAUCUAGAACCUUUUGGAUUAUUGGCAUUUCCAUCCCUUGUGCCAGCUGGCACAUAGUAAAUGUCUGAAUGAAUAAAUAAAUGAACACGGAUUUCUUCAUCUGUAAAUUGGAGAUACGAACACCUACCACACAGAAUAUUUGUGAGAACAAGUAAGAGAACUAAUGGGUGCCCUAGUGCUUUGUUAACUUUACGACUCUGAGUUAAAUUAUUUUUAAAAGUCUGUUAGUAGGGUUUGUUAUUUUAUAAAAAUAUCAAAUGUCAAAUAAACUCCAUUAUUUGGCUUUGAUGUAGUAUUUUAUUUAAUUAUGUUUUCCUUCUAACUAAGAUAGCAUUAACAACAAGUUUUUUCAGUGUUCAUUUUAAACAGAAAAAAUGUCUUACAAUUCAUUAAAAACACUCUGUAAUUCAGGUCAACACCAAUGUCCUUCUACCUCCUUUGGCUAAGUCAUUAUCAGGAAAUCUGUUUCAUUUCAAAAGAAAGCAUCUUAUUAGAAAAAAAGGUCUAAAGUUUAUAUGUUCUCAUUAAAUUCCAAUUCAACAGCAUUUACCAAAGCCCUUCACAGAUAUUUCAUUUAUAACAUUUAUCAUAUUGUAUUAUAAACAAUAUUUCAGGAGACUGAGCAACUUAAGGGCAGAAAAUCAUGUCAUAUUCAUCUUUAUAUCAAGUUCCUAGGCUUUGGCUGGUUCUCUGUAGAGGUUAGUGCCUCAGACAUUGAAUGAAUGACAGACAUAGAAUGAACGAACAGAGGAUAUGUGUUGUGUCCAGCAGAGGACAAAGAGCUGUUAUAACUUUGAUUAGUUUUAUGGCAUAUGGUCAAAGUGAUAAGAAGUUAAUCAACAAACUGAAAACAGGAUUUUUUUUUUUUUGAGGAUUAGCACCUGAGCUAACAUAUUGCCAAUCUCUUUUUUUUUCUUCGUCUUCUUCUCCCCAAAGCCCCCCAGUACAUACUUGUAU